rnacentral:rRNA from 1 species
UAGUCCACGCCGUAAACGAUGGUCACUAGUUGUUGGGGUCUUGUACCUCAGUGAUUAAGAGAAAUUGAUAAGUGACCCACCUGGGGAGUACGAUCGCAAGAUUGAAACUCAAAGGAAUUGACGGGGGCCCGCACAAGCGGUGGAGCAUGUGGUUUAAUUCGAUGAUACGCGAGGAACCUUACCAGGGCUUAAAUGUAAGUUGCAUGAUUUAGAGAUAGAUCUUUCUUCGGACUACUUACAAGGUGCUGCAUGGUUGUCGUCAGCUCGUGCCGUGAGGUGUCAGGUUAAGUCCUAUAACGAGCGCAACCCCUGUUGUUAGUUGCCAGCGAGUCAAGUCGGGAACUCUAGCAAGACUGCCGGUGCAAACCGCGAGGAAGGUGGGGAUGACGUCAAAUCAUCACGGCCCUUACGUCCUGGGCCACACACGUGCUACAAUGGUAGGUACAAUGAGCAGCCACUGCGCGAGCAGGAGCGAAUCUAAAAAACCUAUCUCAGUUCGGAUCGU